rnacentral:rRNA from 1 species
CCUACGGGUGGCAGCAGUGAGGAAUAUUGGUCAAUGGCCGAGAGGCUGAACCAGCCAAGUCGCGUGAGGGAUGACGGCCCUACGGGUUGUAAACCUCUUUUGCCGGGGAGCAAAGAGCGGGUCGCGUCCCGCCUCGAGAGUACCCGGUGAAAAAGCAUCGGCAAACUCCGUGCCAGCAGCCGCGUUAAUACGGAGGACGCGAGCGUUAUCCGGAGUUAUGGGGUUUAAGGGGUGCGCAGGCGGAAGCGCGAGGCAGCGGGAAUAUUGGGAGGUUCAACCUCUUCCCGCCGUUGAAACUGAGUUGCUUGAGGGGGCGAGAAGUACGCGGAAUGCGUGGUGUAGCGGUGAAAUGCGUAGAUAUCACGCAGAACUCCGGUUGCGAAGGCAGCGUACCGGCGCCUAACUGACGCUCAUGCACGAAAGCGUGGGUAUCGAACAGGAUUAGAUACCCGAGUAGUC